GUAUGAUAAGAGAGAACACCCCCUAAAUGAAUAUCCAACUAUACCUUCCACUAAGUCCAGCAAACUGUUCACAAGAUGCAUCUGCAAAACCAAAAUGUGUCUGGAAAUUUUGGAUACAAGAUUAAGGGAAGGGGCUAUACUGUUUCACAAUCUCAUAAUUGAGGGCAUUAGGCUAUUCUAAUACAGUGACAUGAUACAUAUAAGUGACAUUACAUAAAAAAGAAAGUGGAGAGCAUCCAGGUGGAGAAGAUGGGAUAUAUAUGCACCAAAGAAGCUCUCCAUCGACGUUUUACGAUUUGCUAGCAACAUGACAGGCAACCCGACUUGAGCUAAGGAAAAAUAACCUUAACAAAGGGGAAAAAAAACACCAUUGAACAAGGAGCGCACUGUCCAUCUACCCAAUGGUGAUUGAUAAAUAGAAAAAUCGAUUAGCCAGAUGAGGAUAUUUCAGUUUCUUGGCAGAACCGUAUUUUGCAGCACUCGCUUCUGAUUAACGGAGCAUUUGCUGUAACUGAAGCACUUGAUUCCUUUGCUCCGGAGGCAGCAUGUUAAUCUGUUCUGGGGUCAGACUCCUUACUUGCUGAAGAAGUGCCUGCUCCAUCUCUGGGGACAGUGCUCCUUGUCUAGGAGGCUGACUGCCCGGGCCCAUCUGUGCAGGGAAUGAUGGUGGCCCUGGGAGCUGUGUUCCUGAUGUAUUCUCUGGUAAGCUGGGAAUCCAAGGAGAUCCUCGAUCUGCUUGCAUUGAAUUUCCAACUUGAUUAUUGAACUCAGGCCCUAAGUGUGAACCUCCCCCCUGAUACAGUGGUGGUAACUGAUUUGGAAGGGGUGGCUGUCCCUGUGAAAAUGAAGACCCCAUGCUAGCUUGAGGUUUGUUACCAGAAUGAAACAUGGGUUGCAAAGGAUGUUGAGCACCAGAAUGCUGGAAACCCACAUUGGGCCCCAUUUGUGGUCCACACUGAUGAUGAAAGCUUGGAACAGAAGGUAGUCUAGCUUGGGGAGGCAAUGGUGGUUGCAAAGGCGGAUGAGCAAUUCCAGUUGUCCGUAAUGGCUGUUGCAACUGAGUGGAGACAGUAGGCAUUUGGGGUUGGUGGAGUGGCUGUGGCUGUGAAGCAGAAUGAAAAGGUGGAGGUAUAUUUGGAACUUGAGAGGAUUGCGGAACAGAAAUUGGGGUCACUUGUGGGUUUGGAUGUCCCUUUGCCAACUGUGGUGUCUGUAGAGGGUGUGAAGGCAUAGGCUGAGAUUGAAGACUUGGAGGAGAAACUGAAGUAGAAGACAUUGAUAUUGAAGGUUGAUUCUGAUGUUGCUUUCGCAUUGGAGGUUGGGUCUGCGAAGCAAGUGUUUGAUCCUGUAAAACUUGUCCAGCUAAUGAGCGUGCAGCCUGAAUGUUCGACUGCUGAGAUGGUUGUGAUGAUUGCUGAGGUGGUUGUGUUGCUGCAGGUUGAAUAUUUGGAAUCACUUGAGGAGGCUGCACCAUUCCAAGCAUAAUUUGUGCCUGAUCAAACAAGGCAGAUCAAGUAGCAUUGAGUGCGUGAUUAGAGGAGUAGUUUUAGAAUUGAAAGACAUAAGCUAAGCUACUCAAAGCUUAGUUGCUUGACUCCAUUUGUUAGUUUAGUAAUCCAUGUUCAAACUGCCAGGUGUGAGAACUGUGAAGCAGCGCGAUCUCAUCUAGAGAGCUACUGCCAAUAUGAUUAUGACUUAAGGUUUCAUGCACCCACCUUUAUCUACAACAAAUCUAAACGUAAUUUAAGUUUUUAUUAGGAAAAAAAAAUAAAAAAUAUAUAAUUCUCGUUAUAAUAGCAUAUAACUUGUAGAAUGUUCCUAAAUAUUACACAUUCUAUUAUACACAAUUCUUAACAAGAACAGCCAUGACAACCUAUUAAAAUUUCUUAAAUAAAUAUUUUAACUUUUUGAACAAUUUUGAGAAUGGUUUCAUUUACAAUUUAAGUCUAUAAAGAACUCCCUAAGAUUGAUCUCCACUUGUUUAGGCUUAUUUCACAAACAAGCCAAAUUUGAACAAUGACAGACUCAACUUGUUUAACAAAUAAACCAAACUGGAGCCUUAGAGCUUAUUUAAUACACGGGCUGAGACUAGGCAUGCCAAAGCUUAGCUAGAUUUGCUCAACUCUAUACAAUACUAACGUAAAUUAAGUAAAUCCUCAACUAAUGUAAUAGAUGCAGCAUCACAUAAAUCCACUGCACUGACCUAGUUGAUAAAAAAUCGUGGCAAAAUGGUGAAUACUAUUAACCUAUCAGUGCCGAACCUUAAACCAAGUAAGAUUACAAUUCAAAAGUAUAUCAUCUGUUGGUAUAAAUUUGGAUAUAAAGGCAGUCAUUCCCACACUAGAAAGCAAAACUGAAUGAAAAUAUAACUCCAUUUCUCUGGUCCUCACAGCUCCAGCUCCCCUUAGGAAAAGAAAGAGAGAAAAUGUACAAUAACUUUUGUAUUUUUCUAAUGAAACAAAUCAAGUCCUGGUUAAGAUUUCGCCCAUCAGAUAUGAAUUCGGCACAAAGGUCACUGAAACUUACUUAUGUUAUAGUGCCUAAGCAUCAACUGGCCACACAAUCAUAAGAAAGGCAAUGGUAAAGAUGUUAGAAUGUCAUAAUUAAUCACAAUUGAGGGUUUAAGUAUGACAAAUUAUCUAGAUUGAAUUCCCACAGGAACAACACCAAAUCUUAUAUAAAUUAAUUAUUAAAAGCCAUUUUGUGUUACAUUCAAAUCAUUAAUGAGGCACUUUAUGGCAUAUAAGAAUUGGAGAAAUAAAACAUUAGUAUUAAUAAUUAAAAGCCAUUUGGUGUUACAUUCAAAUCAUUAAUGAGGCACUUUAUGGCAUAUAAGAAUUGGAGAAAUAAAACAUUAGUAUUAAUAAUUAAAAGCCAUUUG
rnacentral:misc_RNA from 1 species